AACUUUUAACAAUGGAUCACUUGGUUCUGACAUCGAUGAAGAACGCAGCGAAAUGCGAUAAGUAAUGUGAAUUGCAGAAUUCAGUGAAUCAUCGAAUCUUUGAACGCACAUUGCGCCCGUUAGUACUCUAGCGGGCAUGCCUAUUCGAGCGUCAUUUCAACCCUCGGGCACCUGGCUGCCCGGCGUUGGGGCUCCGGCUCUUAGGAGGCGGUCCCUGAAAUUCAGCGGCGGGCUCACUGUUGCUCCCGGCGUAGUAGUUAUUUCUCGCUGCGGAGGGGCCGUGGGCGCCUGCCGGAACCCAUAUUUUACAGGUUGACCUCGGAUUAGGUAGGAAUACCCGCUGAACUUAAGCAUAUCAAUAAGCGGAGGCU
rnacentral:misc_RNA from 1 species